rnacentral:rRNA from 1 species
UUAGCCCUAAACCUCAGUAGUUAAACCAACAAAACUACUCGCCAGAAUACUACAAGCAACCGCUUGAAACUCAAAGGACUUGGCGGUGCUUCACACCCUCCUAGAGGAGCCUGUCCCAUAAUCGAUAAACCCCGAUCCACCCCACCCUCUCUUGCUCAGCCUAUAUACCGCCAUCUUCAGCGAACCCUGAUAAAGGUUAACAAAGUGAGCGCAAGUGCCCCUUCCGCAAAAACGUUAGGUCAAGGUGUAGCUUAUGAGAUGGAAAAAGAUGGGCUACAUUUUCUAUCCUAGAAAACCCACGAUAACUCUCAUGAAACCUAAGAGUCUAAGGAGGAUUUAGCAGUAAAU